rnacentral:rRNA from 1 species
GAUGAACGCUGGCGGCGUGCCUAAUACAUGCAAGUCGAGCGAACAGACGAGGAGCUUGCUCCUCUGACGUUAGCGGCGGACGGGUGAGUAACACGUGGAUAACCUACCUAUAAGACUGGGAUAACUUCGGGAAACCGGAGCUAAUACCGGAUAAUAUAUUGAACCGCAUGGUUCAAUAGUGAAAUACGGUUUUGCUGUCACUUAUAGAUGGAUCCGCGCCGCAUUAGCUAGUUGGUAAGGUAACGGCUUACCAAGGCAACGAUGCGUAGCCGACCUGAGAGGGUGAUCGGCCACACUGGAACUGGGACACGGUCAAGACUUCUACGGGAGGCAGCAGUAGGGAAUCUUCAGCAAUGGGCGAAAGCUUGACGGAGCAACGCCGCGUGAGUGAUGAAGGUCUUCGGAUCGUAAAACUCUGUUAUUAGGGAAGAACAAAUGUGUAAGUAACUAUGCACGUCUUGACGGUACCUAAUCAGAAAGCCACGGCUAACUACGUG